UACAGAGGGGCAAGCGUUAUUCGGAAUUAUUGGGCGUAAAAGGGCGCGUAGGCGGCUUUGGCAAGUGGAAGGUGAAAUACCCUCGGCUUGAACCGACGGAACUGCCCUCCAAACUGCUUGGCUUGAGACCGGGAGAGGUGGAGUGGAAUUCCCAGUGUAGCGGUGAAAUGCGUAGAUAUUGGGAGGAACACCAGUGGCGAAGGCGGCUCACUGGACCGGUACGUGACGCUGAUGCGCGAAAGCGUGGGAGCAAACGGG
rnacentral:rRNA from 1 species